AUUGAACGCUGGCGGCAUGCCUUACACAUGCAAGUCGAACGGUAACAAGUCUUCGGAUGCUGACGAGUGGCGAACGGGUGAGUAAUACAUCGGAACGUGCCUAGUAGUGGGGGAUAACUACUCGAAAGAGUGGCUACUACCGCAUGAGAUCUACGGACGAAAGCAGGGGAUCGCAAGACCUUGUGCUACUAGAGCGGCCGAUGGCAGAUUAGGUAGUUGGUGGGAUAAAAGCUUACCAAGCCGACGAUCUGUAGCUGGUCUGAGAGGACGAUCAGCCACACUGGGACUGAGACACGGCCCAGACUCCUACGGGAGGCAGCAGUGGGGAAUUUUGGACAAUGGGCGCAAGCCUGAUCCAGCAAUGCCGCGUGCAGGAUGAAGGCCUUCGGGUUGUAAACUGCUUUUGUACGGAACGAAAAGCCCUGGGUUAAUACCCUGGGGUCAUGACGGUACCGUAAGAAUAAGCACCGGCUAACUACGUGCCAGCCGCCGCUGUAACAC
rnacentral:rRNA from 1 species